UGAGAGGCCGAGGCGAUCGCACGGUGGUUUAUCCAGCGUGAGGAAAGUCCGGACUCCUCGGGUCAGAGUGGUUGUUAACGGCAACCGGCCGUGAGGUCAGGGAAAGUGCCACAGAAAAUAUACCGCCAGCAGAGAGACUCGUUUCCCUGCUGGUAAGGUUGAAAUGGUGCGGUAAGAGCGCACCGCAGUCCUGGUGACAGGGCUGGCAGGGCAAACCCCACUCGGAGAAAGACCAAAUAGGGAGGGUAGGCGACGACCCGCGCCAAGGCCCUCCGGGUAGGUCGUUUGAGGCCGGCCGCGAGGCCGAUCCUAAGAGAAAUGAUCGUCACCCCCGCGAGGGGGUACAAGAUCCGGCUUACAAGGCCUCUCACGUC
rnacentral:RNase_P_RNA from 1 species